GAGUGUUGAGGUUGAUUCUCGUCCUUUUCCAUCUAGAGUUUAAAGAGAUCAGGUUAACUGAGGGCUGUGAAGGGAAUGUGGAGGUUUUCUACAAUGGAUCCUGGGGUAAUGUGUGUUACAAUAAGAUGGACAGAGACACAGCGAGUCUGAUCUGUCAAGAGCUGAACUGUGGAAGAUCUGGCAGUGAACCCAGUAAUUCAGAGGGACUGAAGUCUCAUAAUUGGCUUGAUUAUUUUAAAUGUCGACGUCAUGAUUCCGCUCUGUGGCAGUGUCCAUCUUCACCCUGGGGACUGAAUGACUGUGAUAAUGAAGUGGCCAAUAUCACCUGCUCAAAGGAGCAGACUCAUGAAUCUCCUCAGAGUCGUCUGACUUGUUCAAACUCACCAUCUCCUCACCAGAGACAGUGUUCAAAUCAUGUUUCUCUCAGACUGAGUGGAGGGGAGGGCCGGUGCUCUGGGAGGCUGGAGGUGUAUCAUAACGCUGUGUGGGGCUCAGUCUGUGAUGAUCUGUGGGACAUCAGCGAUGCUCAGGUGGUCUGCAGGCAGCUGGGUUGUGGAGCAGCACUGAGGGCUGAUGGGAAUUCAGCCUUUGGUGCUGGUGAAGGUGUUGUGUGGCUGAACAGAGUCGAGUGCAGAGGGAAUGAGAUUCACCUGUGGGACUGUCCUCUCUCCCUGAAGAACCACACUGACUGCUCCCACAAAGAGCACGCUGGACUCACCUGUGCAGGUCA